rnacentral:rRNA from 1 species
UACAGGGGGGGCAAGCGUUGUUCGGAAUUACUGGGCGUAAAGGGCUCGUAGGCGGCCAACUAAGUCACACGUGAAAUCCCCAGGCUUAACCUGGGAACUGCGUGUGAUACUGGAUGGCUUGAAUCCGGGAGAGGGAUGCAGAAUUCCAGGUGUAGCGGUGAAAUGCGUAGAUAUCUGGAGGAAUACCGGUGGCGAAGGCGGCAUCCUGGACCGGCAUUGACGCUGAUGAGCGAAAGCGUGGGGAGCAAACAGG